GGUUAUGGCUCAAUGGUAGUGCACUUGCCUGGCAUGCAUGAGGCACUGGGUUCGAGUCUCAGCACCA
rnacentral:tRNA from 1 species